AAACAGCCUCCUUCAAAAUGCAGCUUGACUGUGAUUCACGGCACAAAGCUGGAAUAACCCUGCCAGUUCUUAGAAGCUUUAAGAUUCAUCGUCUUGAACUUGAUGUACAUAGUAUAGCACCUUAAAAACAAAUCAUCUGCUAGUUCAGUAUUUUCUACUUACAAUCACUCCCUCCCAGGGCAUGUAAUUAAUUUACUGAGCUUAAAAAAAAAAAAAA
ensembl:misc_RNA